rnacentral:rRNA from 1 species
UACGUAGGGGGCAAGCGUUGUCCGGAAUCAUUGGGCGUAAAGAGCGUGUAGGCGGCCCGAUAAGUCCGCUGUGAAAGUCCAAGGGCUCAACCCUGGGAUGCCCGGUGGAUACUGUCGGGGCUCGGAGUCCGGAAGAGGAGAGUGGAAUUCCGUGGUGUAGCGGUGAAAUGCGCAGAUAUCAGGAGGAACACCAAUGGCGAAGGCAGCUCGCUGGGACGUGACUGACGCUGAGACGCGAAAGCGUGGGGAGCAAACAGG